rnacentral:misc_RNA from 1 species
GUCGGCUACUCUAAUAAAUCCAUUAUCAAGAAAAAAAAUAAUGUUACAUAAUUUUACAAAUAAGCAAGUGGGAAGCACAACUCAAAAACAGGAGCUGCCGGAAGAAAAAAAACGAAAGGCAACAAAUGGAAAAGCAAAGCCUAGGAAAAGAGGCAUAAAGACAGUGCCCUUUUGCACUAAUUCCAUUGGAAGACAGCAAUAAAAUCAAUAGCUGUAUGGUUGUCAUUGCUUGUUUUGUAUCAUUGAUUCAUUGGGCUAAGCUUUAUCAAAUCUUAAUUAUUGGCUGCAAGUAGCCACACUUUUAUUUAAAGUGGCUAACAAACUGUAGCUGUCGCCCAGUUUGCAGGGAAAGUUUAGUAAUUUAACUAAAAGCUAUCAUAGUUUCUGGAUUAUAUAGUCCUCAGUAUGCUAAGAUGAAAAUGAUUAAUUCUUUACUCUAGAAGAAGGUACAAAUUAACUCAUCCUUGAAAUCAUGGUGCUAAAAAAAUCAGCUUGGUAUUUAACAUAUUCUCUUUGCUUAUCUUUCAGCUCCUUGUAGACGAGUUUCACAUCUCUAUUAUUUGGAUCAAUGGUUAAAGCCCUGUUUAUAUCAUCUUCAGCUUUCUCGAGUUCUAACGUUUUCAAGUAUGCCUGGGAUCGUCUGAACAGAGCUUUGAUAUUGAAAGGUUCCUGUUCUAAAACCUGCCAUGAAUAGAACAUAACCCCUUUAUAUCUGAAAACUUGUGCUUCAUUUAGUUUUCUGAAGUUAAAGCAUUUAGGAUUGCCUAUAGGUAAGCUUCCUUUUCCCUAGCAAAAAUAUCUUUACAAGAGAUGCUAGCCAAUGUUAUCACAAUUGUGCAAUGUUUCAGUGCAGAAACAUUGUAACAGGCAUAGAAAAUAGGCUAAAAAAGAUUGACCAAAUACAUACAUCGUGAAAUGAGAUAGAUGUUUUAGACGAUCAAAGAUAGAAUCCCAUUACGCAUUCAAGAUGGAAGCAGGCAUAUGCUGUUCUAAUUCUAUAUUAUCUAGUCUUUAUCAGUCUGUCUAUAUAGGUUUAUUAUACAUAUGUGAGAGGUGAGGAAAAGGAAGAAACCUUUGUGCAUAAUCUUGAAGCUUCAAGAUACUCCCCUAGUUUAAGCUUGCAAGCUGCAUUGUUCAAAUUACACAAUAACCGCAACCCUUUGGCAAGGCACUUUUGAUCAUCAGUGAAAGAGUGGUCAAAAUCGAUAUAGUUUGCUGCCUGAAGUUCAUAGUUACGCAAAAUUUGCAAUUCCAAUAAGAAAAAUAAUUAUAAAUAUAAUAUCAUCAAUCUCCUAUCUUCAUAGGCUCUAAAGAUAAUAACUUGCCUUUUCAUAUUUCUUGGAGGCACGCCAGAAUUUCUCAGCCUUGAACAAUGCAUUUCCAUCCAUCUUCUUCCUUUCACAUGCUUCUAAUUUCUCAAAUGCACCCAUCUUCCAAAAUGGUUUCUCCUUGAUAAAGUCAAUCAGCUCAACUUCAUAGUGAAGCACAGAAUUUGCAGGAAGCAUUCCUGAAAUCUCAUGACCAGACAAAUACUCAGCACUGACUGUGACUAGAGCUUGUUCUCCUUUCUUCAUUGUCAUUAUUGCUCUGUCCAAACCCUCAUUUAUUUGGUCUUCCAGAGUUAUAAAUUCAAAAGGUUCUUCAGCAGUUCCCUUCUUCUCAAUAACUAUUCUAUCUUCCAGUUUGCCAGUAUAUGCCACUUUCACUUGGGAUCCGUCAUUAGGACGUUCAAAGCCUUCACCAGCUUGUACAAUUGUUUUGAGCACUUUCUUAUUUCCUGUGAUGUCAAUUACACUUUUCCAUGAUACAAGCUCAAGCUUGAUGCUGAAACUAGAAUGCGGAUGAAUGCUUCUGCCAAUGUCUCCCGGAACAUUUACAUUUCGGCUGAACCCAUAAGAGCACUUUACUGAUAGCUCUGCCACUUCACCCUUUCUCAUCGUCUUCACAGCUUUGCCAAAGGCAGGGCAUAGAUAACCAUCACCUAUGUGAAACUCUUCUCCUUCUUCAGAUUUGGAAACAAGCAGUCCAUUCUCAAGCCCAGCCUCAUACUUCACUAAAAGGAUAGAAAAUGCAUUACUAUUUGAUAAUAAGAUACUGAAUUGAGGAAUUAUUACAUAAGAGCUGCAUACUCAGUCCUGUGGUGAAUUCAGAACAUGUCUGAUAUUUACUGGAAUUAGGAUUCUUCAAAUUUUGCUUUACAAUACUAAUCUAAGCAGAUUAUAUAAAGCAAAUUCCGAAUUGUUGUCCAUCCUGAUCAGAUUGUCAUUUACUAUUAUUACUAUUACCUAAAACUUUAUCUCCAUCUCUGGGUGUGGCCCAUCCCUCGCCCUCCUUUAUUAUCCUCUUCAAUAUUCCUCCAUCACCUGCUAUAUCCCUGAUGCUGCUCCAAGAUAGCAUCUCAACAUCAAAAAAGAGAGCUGCAUUGGAGGGAAUCAGUGGUGGAGAACCAGCUUCCUCAUAGGCCAAAUUUGGUGGUACUUUGAAAAUUGCUCUCUCGCCUUUCUUCAUUGUGGCAGCUCCAUCAUCCAAUCCUUUGAUAACUUCACCUUGGCCUAAUUUGAAGAUAAAGGGAACCCCUUUAUCACGAGUUGAAUCAAGACAUGCCCCGCCUUCAACGUGCCCGCUGAGAUGAACUUCCACCUCGUCUCCAGGAAAUGGAGUUUGCCAGGAAAUUCCUUUCUUGAGAAUCUUUUUCCGGAGACCUUGCUUUCCGAUUUGCUUCUCUGAAAAUUUUGAAUCUCGGUCUUGAAUGUCAGCUUCCAUGGAAGAUUUCAUGGAUGCGAGUGCCAUUUGAAUGGAAGGAAGGUUUCAGAGAGAGGGGGAGUGUGUGUAUAUGCGUUUGAGUUGAAGAUAAGCCGUUGUUGAUUUCCC